GGAUAUGAGAGUGAUCUGGCUGCAACAUGUCACCCCAUUGAUCGCCAGGGUUGAUUCAGCUGAUCUGGCUGUGUAGGCGGGUGUCCCCUUCCUCCCUCACCACUGCAAGUGCGUCCCUCCCGAAACUGUGCACUUGGUAGAAGAGGGAUUGCCUUCCCAAAAAGCAAGGUGUUCCUAUGGCAUG
rnacentral:snRNA from 1 species